rnacentral:rRNA from 1 species
UACGUAGGGGGCAAGCGUUGUCCGGAUUUACUGGGCGUAAAGCGCCUGUAGGCGGAAGUUUAAGCGGUACCUGAAAGCCCCGGCUCAACCCGGGGAGGGCGGCGCCGAACUGGGCUUCUUGAGGGCGAUAGAGGAAGGUGGAAUUCCGGGUGUAGCGGUGAAAUGCGUAGAGAUCCGGAGGAACACCAGUGGCGAAGGCGGCCUUCUGG